UCCCAUCCGUGCACAGCGCAUCCUAAAUAAAUGACCCGCAUAAAAUCUGCACAAAAAAUGACCGACCAUUUUUUAAAAAGUUGUAACUGGAGGCUCAUCUUAUUUAUCUGCCACAGCUCUCGAUGAUAGCCUGGUCCAUAUUCAAGGAACUAAAUCGAUUUCUGAUUAUAAAAUCGCGACUUGACGCCUGCCAAAGCAACGACAAAAAUAUUCGGAAGUCAAGAGUUUAUCGUGCCGCCGAAAUUAACAGAUGCAAAAGUAGUAAUUAACCAAUUCUUUCUCGGCCAAUUUUCGGUCUUGCCCUUGCGGAUAUUGCAUGACCCAAAAAGAUAAAUGUGCAGCAUAAAAAGCACCGAAAAGAGGUAUAGGAACCACUUGCCUUACAUUCGGUUGGCAAAUAAUAUAGUAUUUUCCCGAUUGAUUCACAGCAGCCGAACACUGCGCUGCCGUCUACUGAACCCGACAGUUCCUACAUUCUAGUCAUUUUUCAGCGUUUGACCUAGGCUAAAAUUCAGCUGAAAAUGUUGCUCUUGCUCGUUGUGGCCACUGCCCUGGUGGGCGCUAACGCAAAUACCACAACCCCGGCCACCACCACCACCACCACCACCACCACCACCAAUGGAGUCGAACCUAACAUCGCUGCUCUGGACAGUUUGAACGCCAUAGAAUCCGAUCCUUAUGCCAGCUUUGACAUGAUUGACAACGCCACGACCAUCAGUCACUUCAUGGUGACCCCAACCAGUUCCAACUGCAAGAAUUUAGACUUUAACUGGGCCAUCUCGGAAGUUCAGGGCAAAGUCGAGUUCCACGGAGAAUUCUGCAUGCCUUCAACGGACAGCUGGUCCCUGGCAACCAACGUGAAACUCAAGAUCCUCGGAUACUCCCUGCUCAACGACAAGUACCACUUCAGCCCCCAGUACUCGGAGGUGAGGAAGAAGAUCAACCUCCUGGCGGCCAAGAUCGACGUGACCCUUGGCGUCUACAACUACUGCAUCCGGAUCGUGGGUAACGCCUGCUACUGGGCCGGCAAGUACCGAUGCGCCGACAUCUACGAGCAGCCGUACUGCUUCAAGAAGAACUUGAUCAAGAAGUCCACUUACACCGGCGCUGUCAACUAUAACGAUGUCCUCCAACCGAGCCUUUCCAACUACGCCGCAGCACCCUCCUGGGCGGUCGGUGGUGACGACUGCCCGGCUCGCCUCAAGAAGAUCGCCGCCCUGGCCAAUCUUUAAGCUCGCCUCAGGAGUAACUGAGGAGAACCAAUGGAUUCGGUGCGAAUCCGUUCAAGAGGAAAUUCUAAGUUAACAUCAGCAGAGGCGAUUCGGAAAAGUGCACCGAAAAGAAAGUGAAGUUGAUUCAACAUUCUGGAUGUAAAAAAAGUGUGCGAGAACUUAAAAUAAGCAGAAUUACCCACCAUGGCAGUUACUUUUACAUCUUAGCAUUGCUAAAGUAACUACUGCAGCAGGUAUUUCAGCAUUUUAUAAGUUCUCGCACACUUUUUUUACAUCCAGAAUGUUAAAUCAACUUCCCUUUUUUUCGAUGUGGACAGUACCAAGGCCGGUCUGCUGGGGGUACCAAGGGACUUCAGCUUUCCAGAAAUCCCUACGAGUGACUCAAAGAGCCCCGGCAGGACUCCUGGAGGGGCCCUCAAAAUGUUGCAAAAUCCCCUUGAAGGAGGACUGUAGGUUAAAUACAGCGGGGGGCUCACCCGAGAGAAGGGGCCUCGAAGACGUAUCAGCACCCUGGUGACGAUUCUUGAAAGUUGGCAACACUGUUUUUCCUCCAUUUAAAUGUAUGUAAAAUAAUCGAUUCUUGGUGGCACACCUUGCCUCACCUGGAAUCGAUAUUUCAAUGGAUUUAAAUAGAGGAAAAAUAUAUUGUUGCUAACUUUCAUCAUCGCCACUGCAGCAAUCCAAGAAUUUUCGAGCCAGACCCAAACUGAACAACACUGUUUUUACAUUUAAAGUCAUUAAAACCUAGAUUCUAAAUGAGGAAUCCUGCCUCAAUUGAAUAGAACAAUGCUGUCAACUUUCAAGAAUUGCCUCUAAGCACCAAAAAUUAUAUAAUCUUUUAUUCAAUAAAUGAUUUUCCUCAAAGAUGUGUCUUUUCAUUG
rnacentral:lncRNA from 1 species